GUCGAGCGAACAGACGAGGAGCUUGCUCCUCUGACGUUAGCGGCGGACGGGUGAGUAACACGUGGAUAACCUACCUAUAAGACUGGGAUAACUUCGGGAAACCGGAGCUAAUACCGGAUAAUAUAUUGAACCGCAUGGUUCAAUAGUGAAAGACGGUUUUGCUGUCACUUAUAGAUGGAUCCGCGCCGCAUUAGCUAGUUGGUAAGGUAACGGCUUACCAAGGCAACGAUGCGUAGCCGACCUGAGAGGGUGAUCGGCCACACUGGAACUGAGACACGGUCCAGACUCCUACGGGAGGCAGCAGUAGGGAAUCUUCCGCAAUGGGCGAAAGCCUGACGGAGCAACGCCGCGUGAGUGAUGAAGGUCUUCGGAUCGUAAAACUCUGUUAUUAGGGAAGAACAAAUGUGUAAGUAACUAUGCACGUCUUGACGGUACCUAAUCAGAAAGCCACGGCUAACUACGUGCCAGCAGCCGCGGUAAUACGUAGGUGGCAAGCGUUAUCCGGAAUUAUUGGGCGUAAAGCGCGCGUAGGCGGUUUUUUAAGUCUGAUGUGAAAGCCCACGGCUCAACCGUGGAGGGUCAUUGGAAACUGGAAAACUUGAGUGCAGAAGAGGAAAGUGGAAUUCCAUGUGUAGCGGUGAAAUGCGCAGAGAUAUGGGGGAACACCAGUGGCGAAGGCGACUUUCUGGUCUGUAACUGACG
rnacentral:rRNA from 1 species